UCGUACAAGUGGAGAGCCACCUGCUCCUCACAAAGGCAGCAAUUCAGCUCCGUCAGGAUCUCAUGCCGACCUGUGGGUGGGGCGUGCUCGACCGCGUUCCACGGUGGGGAAACUGAGGCUUGGAGACAGAGGGAGGUUCACAGAGGGGUCCCCAGCUCAUGGCCUCGCACGGAUGGAGUCACCUCUCCAGGGAAGAGCCUGCACCCACCACGUUCUCAUUGCUGGGAGGACAGAGUGAACCAGCCUAGGGGCCGUGUCAGAUCAGCGGCUCCGUGAUGCUCCCCACAGAUACAUGAAUUCUGCCGACCUCCACCCUCAUGGAAACAAAACUACUGUACUGAUUGGAUGCCACAGCUCUAAACUUCAAACACCUGCAAAUGAUUUGCAUUCCACAAGAGCCCACUAACCUGACACACAGGAAGUACCCACAGCCUAGAGCCUCCAUCUGGAACGUACACCCAAGACCACGCAGAAACUCCCGGCCCCACACCACAGCGCACAGCUCUCGGGUAUGCUUGUGCUCUCUUUACUCCCAGUGUGUUUCAUUGGUUCUGCCUGAUAAAUCUGCUUAUGCCUCUCACUGACACAUCCUGAAAGGCCUUUCUGUGAUAAAAGCCAGCAAACCAUCUACUCCCUGAGCGGGGGAUGAGUGGAGAUCCCAUCUUUUCUCUGGGGCACCUCCUCAGGCCCUGUCU